rnacentral:tRNA from 3 species
GCAGGGGUAGCCAAGCCUGGCCAACGGCGCUAGAUUCAGGGUCUAGUCCUUAGUGGUCCGAGGGUUCAAAUCCCUUCCCCUGCACCA